rnacentral:rRNA from 1 species
CCUACGGGUGGCAGCAGUGGGGAAUAUUGCACAAUGGGCGCAAGCCUGAUGCAGCCAUGCCGCGUGUGUGAAGAAGGCCUUCGGGUUGUAAAGCACUUUCAGCGGGGAGGAAGGCGGUGAGGUUAAUAACCUCAUCGAUUGACGUUACCCGCAGAAGAAGCACCGGCUAACUCCGUGCCAGCAGCCGCGGUAAUACGGAGGGUGCAAGCGUUAAUCGGAAUUACUGGGCGUAAAGCGCACGCAGGCGGCCUGUCAAGUCGGAUGUGAAAUCCCCGGGCUCAACCUGGGAACUGCAUUCGAAACUGGCAGGCUAGAGUCUUGUAGAGGGGGGUAGAAUUCCAGGUGUAGCGGUGAAAUGCGUAGAGAUCUGGAGGAAUACCGGUGGCGAAGGCGGCCCCCUGGACAAAGACUGACGCUCAGGUGCGAGAGCGUGGGGAGCAAACAGGAUUAGAUACCCCUGUAGUC